rnacentral:rRNA from 1 species
UCAGACACGUCAGAGUUUGAUCCUGGCUCAGGAUGAACGCUGACAGAAUGCUUAACACAUGCAAGUCGACUCGAGUCUUCGGACUUGGGUGGCGCACGGGUGAGUAACGCGUAUCCAACCUGCCCGCGAGUAGGGGAUAACCCGCAGAAAUGCGGACUAAUACCCUAUAUAGUCCAAAGAUGCCAUCAGAUUUGGACGAAAGAUUUAUCGCUCGCGGAUGGGGAUGCGUCUGAUUAGCUUGUUGGCGGGGUAACGGCCCACCAAGGCAUCGAUCAGUAGGGGUUCUGAGAGGAAGGUCCCCCACAUAGGAACUGAGACACGGUCCUA